ACGAGGGGGGGGGGGGGGGCUUAGGUAGAGGUGUUGCUGCACUGUCUCCACAGAGACAACGCAGCGAUAUCAUCAUGAGCAGUUCUAACUGGAGAGAAAUUAAAAUCUGCGAGCUGCUGAUCAUGUGAGAGAAGGUGAUGCAGCCGUAUUAAACAAAGACGUUGAAAGAUGGUGCAAUCUACGAGAGAGACGCAGAGGAACUGUCCUUAUGAGGCUUUUGUCAGGAUAAAAAACAAGUGGUCAGCAAAAUAAAGAAUAUGUUGGCGUUUUUGCACUUGUAAAUAGUUAAUUGCGUUUGUAGCCUUCCCUCAGACGUGAACUCAUUCUUGCAUGCUGGUG